rnacentral:lncRNA from 1 species
UUUACAGAGAGCUUUGUUUUUCUUCAGAGUGUUAUUUUUCUUCUUUGUUUUCCUUUUUCAGAUAAGUGCUCACUGUGUUGCCCAAGCUAGCCCCUGGGUUCAAGUGACCCACCCAACUCAACUUGGGACAAUGGCAAGGUGCCCAGGCUGGGAUCCCCGGCAAGGGAGCAAGCUGGAGUUCCUAGUGUAGAGAGGGGCAGCAACAUACAUAGAGACCAUAGCAAGCCGCUACUUCAUGGAGUCCUGGAUGUGUCAGGCCCCUUGGGGACACCCUGUGAAGAGCGCCACCAUCACUAGGUGUUCCACAGAGAGAGAAAGGAAGGCCUGGAGAGGUCACGUGACAUGCCCACGGUGACUCAGCUGCAGACAGGGAUGGGGAUUUGAAUCUGUUGUACCCCCCCUAGAUUUGCAAUUCCGUGUCCCAUAAGUCCUCCUCAAGGGAACAUACAGGCGUCACCAAAAAUUACUACUGCAUCUGAGAGGAUGUGGGAUCGGGGUAGAGCCCAGGGUUUUACACAUGCUCAGCAACUGCUCCAUCCGUGAUCUACAUCUGGGCCAGGGACUCGGAAAAAAAAACUAAUGGGCAGCGCCUCAUCGCCUAAGAACCGAAACCUCAGGAGAGGCCAAAGCAUCCUAAAGCCACUGAACAGAGAAUGGAGCCACUGAACGGAGAAGCUCCUGAGAACAGGUGGGGUGCAUCCUAAAGCCACUGAAUGGAGACGCUCCCGAGAGCAGGCGGGGUGCAUCCUAAAGCCACAGACUGAGGAGCUCGAGAGCAGGCCGGGCUAAGUCAGUCACAUUUACAUUACACGUGGCACAGAGGACAGCAUGGCAGGUAACCAGGAGGGAACUAGGGAGACACUGCGGGAGGAGGAGGCACUGGAUGCUAAAUCUCCAGUCCAGCGGGGAGCAGGGGCAGGUGUUCUGCUUGGCUCUGGCCGUGCAGCCCGCGCCUACUAGGUCAUCUGCUGACGUCACCAGGAAGUGGACACGGUGCUGAAAUACUUGACAUUUGAGGUUUGGGGAUUUGAGGCAGGAUGAAUAGAGGUACGGCUAUUGGCUCCUUCCUUGGGGAAGACCCUGAGUUGGGCUAUUUAUUUAUUUAUUUUAGCGACAAGGCCUAUGUUGUCCAGGCUGGCUCUGAAUUUUGCCUCUGCAAUUGUCAAGUAGUUGGCACCGUAACAGGUGCCACUGCACCAGCUGCCACAUUGCCACUGGGAAGGUUGGUGUUGUCAUCUUGACACCCUCUAGAACAGCAGUUCACCACCUGUGGGUCAUGACCCCUUCCAGGGGGGACUAACAACCCUUUCACUGGGUCACCUAAGACUGUCUGAAAACACAAAUAUUUACAUUACUGCUAAACUAUUUCUUCGCCGGUAAAAAUGAACCAACUCAAGACAGAUUAGAAUAUAUUAAAUGCAGGUUUAUUGGGAAGCUGCUCUCGGGUGGGUGAGUUCACUGGCCCCAAGGAAGGAAGCCAGGGUCACCAUGGGAAGGUAGAGAGAGAAACAGAGACAGAGAGGGAGGAGAGAGGGAGAAAGGGAGAGAAAGAGAAAAAUGGAAAGAGGGAGAGAAAGAAGGAGAGGGGGGAGAAGAAAAAGAAAAGAAGUGAGGAUUUGAAGGGAGAAGGAGACCAAAAUGAUUUCUGGCUUAUAUAUUGAAGAGCCUCUGGGAGAAGAGCAGCCCAGCCUCUGGGCUGCAAAUUCAGGGUAUGGGGGCAGAGUGUGCUAGGUAGGGACCAAGGGAUUCUGAGAGAUCCUGGAGGCCAGGUCUGCUUUAAUGUUAAAAUAUGCACCUCAGUUUCUUGUCCCGGGUCUGAAACCAAACAGUUAUGAUUCACAAUAUUAGCAAAAUUACAGUUUUGAAGUAGCAACAAAAAUGACUUUUAUGGUUGGGGGUCACCACAACUGCAUUAAAGGGUCGCGUCAUUAGGAAGGUUGACAACCACUGUUCUAGAAUCACCAGGGAGACACGCCUCCAGGUGCAUGUGCAAGGGAUUAUUUAGCCUGUCAUUAGACCGAGGUGUGGAGACCCAGCCUGAAAGUGAGCUUGGGUCCUGGAUUGAGUAAGGGAGAAAACGUGCUGAACAUAAACAUCCCUCAUCAGCUGCAUCCCUCAUCAUCAGCUGCAUCCCUCAUCAGCUGCAUCCCUCAUCAGCUGCAUCCCUCAUCAGCUGCAUCCCUCAUCAUGUGGCUGUGGUGUGCCUACCUGAUUCUGGCUUCUGCUCUGUCAGACCAGUCCCUGAACUGUGAGCUCAUGUAAAUUCUUUCUUUGUUGAUUUUCCUUUGUCGUGGUACUUUAAACAAGCACUGAUUGAUUACUAUUAACUAUUGUGAAUUGUAUAUUGAACUGUGGUCUGAAUUAAAUCCUUUCUUCAUUGAUUUUCCUUUGUCAGGGUACUUCAAAUAAGUAUUAGUACUUAUUAUCAUCAUUGUUAUUAUUGUUAUCAUUAUUAUUUGUUAUUAUUAAUUGUUAUUAUUAUUGUUGUUGUUGUUGUGUGAGAGAGGUGUGUGGGAUGUGCACUUGUGUGUAUCUUAUUACUGCAAUGGAAAUAGAAACUAAGACAGAAAAUUGAUCCAGAGAGGUGAGCUCACGCUGUGAUGAGCCAGCCUGAGCCUGUGUGGAUCUUAAGCCUCUGGAAUUGUUUGUGGAGGGAAUGUGGAACCAUCUGAAAGUUCAGGCUAAUAAAGACCUCGCACAGAGGAAGCAGAA